UUGUGAAUUGUGAAUUGUAUUCCGCUGAAUUGAUCCGGUUAGUUGUCCCGAGUUUUCCCAACAAACUCUUACGAAGAAUACGACAACCUUUACUCCAGAGGAAGUGGAAAUGGUGGUGUUGCUGCUGCUUUCGGCGAAUUGCGAUAUGCGAAAGUGUUUCUGGCAGAGUAUUGCACUAAAUACACCGCAGUUGCUCCUAUAUUUCAAACAGGCGGUUUUGGCUUUGUCUUCCCUAAAGGUUCUCUUCUUGUGCCUCAUAUAUCAAGGGCAAUACUAAAUUUAACUGGAUGAGGUAAAAUAAAGAAAAUCGAGAAUGCAUAUGUUUAGGCAAGCAAAGCAGCUGUCCAGAUUCCGGCACCUCGAUUUCAUCUACUAGCCAUAGUCUCAAGAGUGUCGGGGGUUUAUUUUUAAUUUCAGGAAUAGCUGCACUUUCUGAUCU